AAUCGCUCAUAACUCGAAGGAUAUAAUAUGUACUUAGCUAAAAAGGCUUUUAUGAUCGAAACACUUCCAAGUUUGUGUGCUAAACAAUGUCAAAAGGUCAUUUAACUUAAUGUGGAUGCUAGUUGGUUCCAGCUGGAUGGUAGGGCUACUGUGGCUGCGGUGUUGCGGGAUCAUGAUGGUAUUUUCUUGGCAGUUCAUAAGCUUUCUCUUGUGGCUAGAUCAGUGGUGUUUGCGGAGGCAAUGGCAAUGCUUAGAGGUUGUGAACUAGCAGCGGAGCUGGGUUUUAGGUGGGUUGAGGCAGAAUCUAAAUCGCUUGAGAUGAUCGUUUCCUUACAGGGUGAUAUUUCUAAGGGCAGUUGGCAAGUGUUUCCAAUCUUAGAUGCUAUUUUGAGUUUGGGGAACUCUUUUCAGGGCUGUCGUUGGUCUUGGGUUCCAAGAUCGGCCAAUCAGUCGGCGAACCAUCUGGCGUCGAGGAAAAACAUGGAGAUGUGCAGCACCACUUGGGUCAAAAGACCCCCUAUCUUCAUUGAUUCACAUUCUCAACAAGGAUGGGCUUCCUUGCCCUCUGUAAUUGUUUUUUGUUUUUGUGGGUGUGCGUUGGGUUGACAUUUUGCCUUUGUGGUAGCGUCUUUUCUCUGUUAUCCCUCUCACGACCCUUUUCUUUGUUUUGCUAUGUUUGCCCCUUUGGUGGGCUUUCUUU